UACGAAGGGGGCUAGCGUUGCUCGGAAUCACUGGGCGUAAAGCGCACGUAGGCGGACUCUUAAGUCGGUGGUGAAAUCCUGGAGCUCAACUCCAGAACUGCCUUCGAUACUGAGAGUCUCGAGUCCGAGAGAGGUGAGUGGAACUGCGAGUGUAGAGGUGAAAUUCGUAGAUAUUCGCAAGAACACCAGUGGCGAAGGCGGCUCACUGGCUCGGUACUGACGCUGAGGCGCGAAGGCGUGGGGAGCGAACGGG
rnacentral:rRNA from 1 species